rnacentral:SRP_RNA from 1 species
GCAGUGGGCGUCUAUAGUCCCAGCUACUCGGGAGGCUGAGAUGGGAGGACGGCUUGAGUCCAGGAGUUCUGGGAUAUAGUGCACUAUGCUAAUGGGUGUCCACACUAAGUUUGGCAUCGAUAUGGUGGCCUCUGGGGAGCAAGGGACCACCACGUGGCCUAAAGAGAGGUGAACUGACCCGGGUCAGAAAUGAGCAGGCCAAAUCUCUUGUGCUCAUCAGCAUUGUGAUUGAGCUUGUGAAUAGCCAAUGUACUCCAGACUGGGCAAUAUAGAAAGACCCCAUCUCU